rnacentral:lncRNA from 1 species
GCUCAUUAAAGCUUUAUAGGGGUAGUGCCAAUAGAGAACUUUAGGUCUGGGGAAGAAUCAUUAGUAAAGAUCGACCGUGUGCUCUGGGUGCCUUUAGGCAGCCACUGUUUCCAUUGGUGUUUAAUAUUUAUUGCUUUCUCAUAAUCUUCCAGCUGCUAUCUUGUCACUGUUAGGAAGACUGGGGAAAAUGUCCUAUGGAUAUUUAUUUUCUACCACAUAUUUAGUAUAUCACUUGAAAGUUUGAGUUCUGUGUUUCUUAUAUAACUUAUGAAUAAUAAAAUAAAAAUCAUCACUAUUGCUUUCAG